GACAGAGGAUGCAAGCGUUAUCCGGAAUGAUUGGGCGUAAAGCGUCUGUAGGUGGUUUAUUAAGUCUACUGUUAAAGAUCAGGGCUUAACCCUGAGCAGGCAAUAGAAACUAAUAAGCUAGAGUACGGUAGGGGCAGAGGGAAUUCCCGGUGUAGCGGUGAAAUGCAUAGAGAUCGGGAAGAACACCAACGGCGAAAGCACUCUGCUGGGCCGAAACUGACACUGAGAGACGAAAGCUAGGGGAGCAAAUGGG
rnacentral:rRNA from 1 species